GCUGUCUGUCUGUCAGUGAAGACUCGAUCUGACACUCUUCUUCUGGAGACUGGACUUUAGAGAAAUGAUGCUGAUCUUUGAACUGAUGCUGCUGCUGCAAACUACUGCAUGUCUGGAUCGGUUCUGCUGGUUUGAUCAGUCUGAUCCCUGUUACGCAGCUCUGGGACACAAACUCAAUCUGCUGACAGUGCUGGACGCUAGAGAAUAUGAGCUGAAGAUAAUAAAGAGAAUAAACUACACACAAGAUGAUCGAGAUUGUAGAGUAAAAUAUGGCAGGAUGAGGGAAUGUGAUCUUUACAAUAACAGACCUGAAGUGACCGUCAUUAAUGGGACUGUGAUAAUAAACCGUUUGAUUGAUUGAUUGAUUGAUGUGUUUGUGUUGUUCAGUGUCUGUGGUGUUUGUGCUGGCCUGGGGUUUCCAGCUGAUGGUUCUGUUGGGUCUGUUAGGAGGUUUUCACAUCUACAUGAGACACACGUCAGGUGAGAGACAUUUAUGAUCAUCAUUAUGGAUUUGACAUGUGAAUAUUAAGAGUGUGAUGAUGAUGAUAAUGUGAUGCUUUUAGGAAAGAAAGAGGAAGAUCAGAAAGUGAGAAUGAGCAGAUUUAGAGAGCAACAUGAACACACAGCUGAAGAUUCAUGAGAGCAGCAGCAGAUCUUCUGUAUUUUAUGUUUUUUAACGUUUUGCUACACUUUUGUAUUUUUUUAUUCAUACGUUAUUUAUGUUAUUAUGGAAUAGUGAUGAACCAUGUUCUUUUAAAAAAUGAAAAUGGAGUCAGCAUUGAAACUGAUAAACUUUGCUAUCAAAGUUAAAUGAAGAUAAAAUGCUUUGAAAUGAAGCUUUAUUUCCAGUCAAAAGCCACAAUCUCAUUAGAUUUUUGUUAAAGCUUAUUUAAUACACUACAUUUUCAUUGUAUUGACCAUAAAGCACAGGUUAAUCAAAGUUAAACACAUAAAAAACUCAAACACAUACAGAAGAGAGAUACAUCUCUGAUACACAUUUAAAUACGGCAUUAACAACUAUAGAUGUUCAGUUCGGUUCCAUGCACACUGCAUAGAAUUUUUGUAAAUGCAGUUGUCACUAGCUGAAUUUUUGGGAGUUCAUUUGUUUGUAGUAAUUUGGUUUCCUUUUUAAUCAUCUGCCUUGCUUAUUACAUAGAACAUUGAAUAAAACAAGGAACAGGAAUAAAAUGAAGAGAUUAAAUAAAAUUAGUUUUG
rnacentral:lncRNA from 1 species